rnacentral:rRNA from 1 species
AGUGAACGCUGGCGGCAGGCCUAACACAUGCAAGUCGAACGGCAGCACAAGGGAGCUUGCUCCCUGGGUGGCGAGUGGCGGACGGGUGAGGAAUACAUCGGAAUCUGCCCUGUCGUGGGGGAUAACGUAGGGAAACUUACGCUAAUACCGCAUACGACCUUCGGGUGAAAGAGGGGGAUCGCAAGACCUCUCGCGAUUGGAUGAGCCGAUGUCGGAUUAGCUAGUUGGCGGGGUAAAGGCCCACCAAGGCGACGAUCCGUAGCUGGUCUGAGAGGAUGAUCAGCCACACUGGAACUGAGACACGGUCCAGACUCCUACGGGAGGCAG